AAAGAUCCAGAGCUUCAACGCUUGGAAAUUUUAUGUUUCCAAGAAGUUACACCUCCCUUUAGAAAUUGGAGGCCAUUUCAGCUGGGAGGGGCUCUGUUAGGUGAACUCAUCCAAACCUGGGGGCCUGAGGGGUUAUGACAAGGGGGAGGGGAGGGAAGGGAGGCCAAAGCAGCUUCUGAGAUAAGGUGUCCAGUUCCCCUUUCAUCAUGCUACCCCCCUGCUCACUACACCUUUCUUUGGUCCCCUC